rnacentral:rRNA from 1 species
UACGUAGGUGACAAGCGUUGUCCGGAUUUACUGGGCGUAAAGAGCGCGCAGGCGGUCGUUCAAGUCGAGUGUGAAAGCCCCCCGGCUCAACUGGGGAGGGUCACUCGAUACUGAUCGACUCGAAGGCAGGAGAGGGAAGUGGAAUUCCCGGUGUAGUGGUGAAAUGCGUAGAUAUCGGGAGGAACACCAGUGGCGAAGGCGACUUCCUGGCCUGUUCUUGACGCUGAGGCGCAAAAGCUAGGGGAGCAAACGGGG